CCUACGGGUGGCAGCAGUGAGGAAUAUUGGUCAAUGGUCGGGAGCCUGAACCAGCCAAGCCGCGUGAGGGAUGAAGGUACAGAGUAUCGUAAACCUCUUUUGUCAGGGAACAAAGGCGGGGACGUGUCCCCGGAUGAGUGUACCUGAAGAAAAAGCAUCGGCAAACUCCGUGCCAGCAGCCGCGGUAAUACGGAGGAUGCGAGGGUUAUCCGGAUUGAUUGGGUUUAAAGGGUGCGCAGGCGGUCUGUUAAGUCAGCGGUCAAAGCCCGGGGCUCAACCCCGGCCCGCCGUUGAAACUGGCAGUCUCGAGUGGGAGAGAGGUAUGCGGAAUGCGCGGUGUAGCGGUGAAAUGCAUAGAUAUCGCGCAGAACUCCGAUUGCGAAGGCAGCAUGCCGGCUCCACACUGACGCUGAGGCACGAAAGCGUGGGUAUCGAACAGGAUUAGAUACCCGGGUAGUC
rnacentral:rRNA from 1 species